rnacentral:rRNA from 1 species
UACGAAGGGGGCUAGCGUUGUUCGGAAUUACUGGGCGUAAAGCGCACGUAGGCGGAUUGACAAGUCAGAGGUGAAAUCCCGGGGCUCAACCUCGGAACUGCCUUUGAUACUGUCAGUCUAGAGUCCGGAAGAGGUGGGUGGAAUUCCUAGUGUAGAGGUGAAAUUCGCAGAUAUUAGGAAGAACACCGGUGGCGAAGGCGGCCCACUGGUCCGGUACUGACGCUGAGGUGCGAAAGCGUGGGGAGCAAACAGG